UACGUAGGGGGCCAGCGUUGUUCGGAAUUACUGGGUGUAAAAGGGUUCGUAGGCGGUGCGGCAAGUUGGGAGUGAAAUCUCUGGGCUUAACCCAGAGGCUGCUUUCAAAACUGCUGUGCUUGAGUGUGAGAGAGGCUCGUGGAAUUGCAGGUGUAGCGGUGAAAUGCGUAGAUAUCUGCAGGAACACCCGUGGCGAAAGCGGCGAGCUGGAUCACUACUGACGCUGAGGAACGAAAGCUAGGGGAGCAAACAGG
rnacentral:rRNA from 1 species